CCUACGGGGGGCUGCAGUGGGGAAUAUUGCACAAUGGGCGCAAGCCUGAUGCAGCCAUGCCGCGUGUGUGAAGAAGGCCUUCGGGUUGUAAAGCACUUUCAGCGGGGAGGAAGGCGUUAAGGUUAAUAACCUUGGCGAUUGACGUUACCCGCAGAAGAAGCACCGGCUAACUCCGUGCCAGCAGCCGCGGUAAUACGGAGGGUGCAAGCGUUAAUCGGAAUUACUGGGCGUAAAGCGCACGCAGGCGGUCUGUCAAGUCGGAUGUGAAAUCCCCGGGCUCAACCUGGGAACUGCAUUCGAAACUGGCAGGCUAGAGUCUUGUAGAGGGGGGUAGAAUUCCAGGUGUAGCGGUGAAAUGCGUAGAGAUCUGGAGGAAUACCGGUGGCGAAGGCGGCCCCCUGGACAAAGACUGACGCUCAGGUGCGAAAGCGUGGGGAGCAAACAGGAUUAGAUACCCCGGUAAUC
rnacentral:rRNA from 1 species